UACGGAGGUGGCAAGCGUUGCUCGGAAUCACUGGGCGUAAAGGGCGCGUAGGCGGGGAGGUAAGUCGGGUGUGAAAUCCCUCGGCCCAACCGAGGAACUGCGCCCGAGACUGCUUCUCUUGAGUCCCGGAGAGGAAGGUGGAAUUCCCGGUGUAGCGGUGAAAUGUGUAGAGAUCGGGAGGAACAUCAGUGGCGAAGGCGGCUCUCUGGGCCUUUCCUGACGCUGAGACGCGAAAGCGUGGGGAGCGAACCGG
rnacentral:rRNA from 1 species